rnacentral:lncRNA from 1 species
CUUAUAUUUAGGGGUACAUUUCAAUUUUGUUGUAAAAACCCAUUUUUGUUACAAAAGGGCACACAUCUGUAUUUUUGAAGAUAAAAUAGCCUUGCCAGACCUCACAAUUAUUUGAACUCAUCUACAUUGAAUGUUUCCACAUUUAAGUUAUGUUUUUCUUUUUAAUAUAUUAUAAAUGAUCACUUGCAGACAUGGCCCUUGUCUGAGCCGAGGGACAGUGACUGAUUUCAGGCCUGAGCGAUUCUUUUUGUUAGGUGGUGUUCCGAACCCGAUUUAGGACUGGACAAAUAUUUAAAAGAGCCGUCAAGAUCGAAUUAUAAUAAAAGUUAUAGUGUACAAAAAUAUAUAUUUUCACGAUGUUUCAUUGUUUGAUUAGUUGAUGGAAUUAAUAUACUCACUGGGCAACAAAUGGAAUAUUAUACUCUUUCCAAACCCAACAGGCAGAUUGACUAUAAUAUUAUUUCCCUGGAGAAUGUUUUCUAUGGAGGAAAUUUGUUCAUGUUUCAGUGUCAACUGUGGAUACAGCUG